AUGCAGUUGAGGCCUAUUUUUUAAAAACGUAACUUACUGAAAGGUUGUGACAGUCUGGAGUGAGCUGCCAGCACAAGUGGUGUAUGCGAGCUCGAUUUCAACUUUAAGAGAAGUUUGGGAAUUUGCCUAAGGUUAAGUAUAAAGGUGCCAGGCUCUGCAAAAAUCACAUCUUGUCUGUCUUGAAAAGAAAAGAGAGCAUCCUGACUGGCUGCAUCACUGCCUGGAAUGGGAAGUGUACUGCGGACAGCCCAGUGCAUCCGUAAAUGUGAACUUCCCACUAUCCAGGACAUUUACAAAGACAGGUGUGUAAAAAAGGGUCCGAAGGAUCAUUGGGGGCAUGAGUCACCCCAACCACAAACUGUUCCAGCUGCUACCAUCUGGGAAAUGUAACCGCAGCAUAAAAGCCAGGACCAACGGGCUCCGGGAUAGCUCCUUCUACCAGGCCAUCAGACUGAUUAAUUCAUGCUGACACAAUUGUAUUUCAA